rnacentral:rRNA from 1 species
UGUAAGCGUAUACCAAAGUUGUUGCAGUUAAAACGCUCGUAGUCGGAAUUUGGUAGUUCCGGAUGUGUGCACGUCGUGUGCGCACUUCGCGGGGAUUGCUUUUGUGGUCUUGCGUAGGAUGAGGCACUUUUAUUAGUGAACGUCCUCACGCAACCACUUUUUACUGUGAGAAAAUCAGAGUGCUCAAAGCAGGCAUUUGCCGUGAAUGUAUUAGCAUGGAAUAAUAGAAUAGGACUUGGUUCUAUUUUGUUGGUUUGUUGGGGCUGAGUAAUGAUUAAGAGGGACAGUUGGGGGCAUUUGUAUUUCGGCGCUAGAGGUGAAAUUCUUAGAUUGCCGAAAGACAAACUGCUGCGAAAGCGUCUGCCAAGGAUGUUUUCAUUGA